rfam:Linderina pennispora strain ATCC 12442 DL89scaffold_2, whole genome shotgun sequence.
GGGGCUUUAGCUCAGGGGUAGAGCAAUUGGCUGCAGUCCAAUAGGUCACUAGUUCAAUUCUGGUAGGUCCCU